UACGUAGGGUGCAAGCGUUAAUCGGAAUUACUGGGCGUAAAGCGUGCGCAGGCGGUUGUGCAAGACGGAUGUGAAAUCCCCGGGCUCAACCUGGGAACUGCAUUUGUGACUGCACGGCUGGAGUGCGGCAGAGGGGGAUGGAAUUCCGCGUGUAGCAGUGAAAUGCGUAGAUAUGCGGAGGAACACCGAUGGCGAAGGCAAUCCCCUGGGCCUGCACUGACGCUCAUGCACGAAAGCGUGGGGAGCAAGCAGG
rnacentral:rRNA from 1 species